UUGGAGGGCAAGUCUGGUGCCAGCAGCCGCGGUAAUUCCAGCUCCAAUAGCGUAUAUUAAAGUUGUUGCGGUUAAAAAGCUCGUAGUUGAAUUUCGGGGUUCUACCGUUGGUCGGGCUUUGUCUGUACUGGUGUGUAGAAUUUCUACCUUCUGGGGAACCAUCAUGCUAUUAAUUAGCGUGGUGGGAAACCAGGACCUUUACCUUGAAAAAAUUAGUGUGUUCAAAGCAGGCUUAUGUCUGAAUACAUUAGCGUGGAAUAAUAGAAUAGGACGGUGGUCCUGUUUUGUUGGUUUCUGAAUCACCGUAAUGAUUAAUAGGGAUAGUUGGGGGCAUUAGUAUUCAAUUGUCAGAGGUGAAAUUCUUGGAUUUAUUGAAGACUAACUUCUGCGAAAGCAUUUGCCAAGGAUGUUUUCAUUAAUCAAGAACGAAAGUUAGGGGAUCGAAGACGAUCAGAUACCGUCGUAGUCUUAACCAUAAACUAUGCCGACUAGGGAUCGGACGAUGUUAAUUUUUCUUGACUCGUUCGGCGCCUUACGGGAAAC
rnacentral:rRNA from 1 species